GCACUCUUUGGACGUCGACCGGCGCACGGGUGAGUAACGCGUAUCCAACCUUCCCAUUACUGUGGGAUAACCUGCCGAAAGGCAGACUAAUACCGCAUAGUCUUCGAUGACGGCAUCAGAUUUGAAGUAAAGAUUUAUCGGUAAUGGAUGGGGAUGCGUCUGAUUAGCUUGUUGGCGGGGUAACGGCCCACCAAGGCGACGAUCAGUAGGGGUUCUGAGAGGAAGGUCCCCCACAUUGGAACUGAGACACGGUCCAAACUCCUACGGGAGGCAGCAGUGAGGAAUAUUGGUCAAUGGACGGAAGUCUGAACCAGCCAAGUAGCGUGCAGGAUGACGGCCCUAUGGGUUGUAAACUGCUUUUGUAUGGGGAUAAAGUUAGGGACGUGUCCCUAUUUGCAGGUACCAUACGAAUAAGGACCGGCUAAUUCCGUGCCAGCAGCCGCGGUAAUACGGAAGGUCCAGGCGUUAUCCGGAUUUAUUGGGUUUAAAGGGAGCGUAGGCUGGAGAUUAAGUGUGUUGUGAAAUGUAGACGCUCAACGUCUGAAUUGCAGCGCAUACUGGUUUCCUUGAGUACGCACAACGUUGGCGGAAUUCGUCGUGUAGCGGUGAAAUGCUUAGAUAUGACGAAGAACUCCGAUUGCGAAGGCAGCUGACGGGAGCGCAACUGACGCUUAAGCUCGAAGGUGCGGGUAUCAAACAGGAUUAGAUAUCCUGGUAGUCCGCACAGUAAACGAUGGAU
rnacentral:rRNA from 1 species